UGGACUCUUAUGCUGUUCCAGUUUCAUUAUAUGGUUCCACUUUCCUUCUUUUCUCUUGCAUCAUCUCUCUCUUCUGAUAAGACUCUAUUUUGAUUUAUUUGAAUGAAGGAAAAGAAAGAAACAGGAAAAAAAAAAAAAGAAAAGAAAAGUAGAGAAUCAUUUGAUCAAAAGCGAAAAUUCAAAAAGAAGUGAAGAAGAUCAAAAAUAAAAAAAAAGAAAAAAAAAAGGAGAGGGAGAAUUUCUUCUCUCCGAAUCUCUCCACUUCCUUGGAGAGAAGACCGAAGAAAACAAAGAGAGAGAAUACAAAUUGCUUCUUUGGUUAGAAGAGGAAAACGAAUCUUUUUUCUCAUCUUUGUUAAACUAUAAAAAGAAAAGAAAAGUUGAAAAGUUUAAAUUCCAUCCUUUAGACAGCAAAUCAAGAGAAAAAUGAGUAAAAUACACAGAAGAGAUCUCUUUCCAAAUUUGUAUUUUACUCUCUUUAAAAAUAGAGAGAUUUAAAUAUUUCUCUUUCUUUUUUUUUCUUUUGAGUUUCAAAUUUUUUUUUCUUCUCCCCUUCAUGUUAAACAUUUAUUUUUUUUUUAAUCUUACUUCUACCCUUUUCCCCUUUUUUUCGCUGUACCUUUUUUUAUGUAUCCAAACAUAGAAUAAAAUGACAGGUUUGGAGAGAAAUCAGAUCCUUUUGACGUUCGUCUCUUCUCUUUUCACAUACCAUCUAAAUAAGAUAUUUUAAAUUCCUAUAAUUUUAUUUGUUUUAUAAAUUUUAAAUCAAAUAAAAGAAAAUUGAUUGCUCUCCUAUUUUGUCCUAAACAAGAAUUCUUAUUUUCUCUCUUCAUUUUCUCUUCUCUGAAUUUCAAUCCAAAAAAAUUAUGUAAGAAAUCAAAAUUAUGGUUUCGAGCUUUUGAAGCAGCUUACCUAAAGUCAGCCGUCAAGCCUUUUCCUAUUAUCUGUUCUAGUGCUAUAUGAAUAUCAAUUAAUUAGUAGAAAAUGAUAUAUAAGUUGAAUAUCAAAUACCUUAUAAUAAUAAUCUUUUUGUAAUAAGGCAUGUUCCAAAAUGACUCCUUGCCUCCGAUCUAUAAAUAAUAAAAUUUUUAUCCUACGGAGUUACAGUUCCAGCGACUCUUCUGGAAAGAGAAAUCAGGGAAAUGCCUCGACAGAAAAGUUUGGUAGAACCCUAGCUGUUCGCUGAGAAGAGCUGUCCUCUAAUACAUAACUAAAAUAUGAGCAACAAUAUUUAAUAACCGAUCGGCUUUCCAAUUGAUAGCACCAAGACUAUCCAAUAAUAACAUUUGGAUGAAGACAUUUACUCAUGUGAAAUUAAAUCCUUUUGUCCGUCGGGGCGGACAGGACCACGUGCGCCACAUCGGUUCCGUUUCAACCCAUCCUUACCUUGUGGUCGUCCUCACUUAAAUGGAAGUCGUUUCAGCGAGGGGAAGAAAGUUGGUCGCUGCGAGGGUGGGAGUCGGAGAUAAGGAUAAAGACGAGACGUGUAGGGUUGGAACUUUGCUGGGACACCGCUGCAGUGAUAAGUUUAGGCC
rnacentral:lncRNA from 1 species